GGAUACAGAUUAGAUGAUCUCUCCAUCAAAUAUCUAGAAAUCUGCCUAUCUUCUCCCUGUGUCUUUCCACUGAUGAAAAUGGCUGUCCUAAUAACUCUUAUUGGGGGGGGUUUUUUUUUUUUUCUUUUUAAUAAACCCUAUCUAUCUGCGAAUCUGCGAGCGAAGGCCUGCUCACGUUAGAUGUUAUCUAUACAAAGGUUGAAGAUUUGAAAAUGGUGAUUGUUUUUAUUCACGGCCUGCUCGUAAGUGUGUAUAGUUGAUUUGUUAAAUUGAAAAGGUUAUUUAUAGCCUAUCUAGCUAUCUAGCUGUAGGGUUAGUUUGUUAGG
rnacentral:sRNA from 1 species